AGACCCGAAACCCGGUGAUCUAGCCAUGGGCAGGUUGAAGGUUGGGUAACACUAACUGGAGGACCGAACCGACUAAUGUUGAAAAAUUAGCGGAUGACCUGUGGCUGGGGGUGAAAGGCCAAUCAAACCGGGAGAUAGCUGGUUCUCCCCGAAAGCUAUUUAGGUAGCGCCUCGUGAAUUCAUCUCCGGGGGUAGAGCACUGUUUCGGCUAGGGGGCCAUCCCGGCUUACCAACCCGAUGCAAACUGCGAAUACCGGAGAAUGUUAUCACGGGAGACACACGGCGGGUGCUAACGUCCGUCGUGAAGAGGGAAACAACCCAGACCGCCAGCUAAGGUCCCAAAGUCAUGGUUAAGUGGGAAACGAUGUGGGAAGGCCCAGACAGCCAGGAUGUUGGCUUAGAAGCAGCCAUCAUUUAAAGAAAGCGUAAUAGCUCACUGGUCGAGUCGGCCUGCGCGGAAGAUGUAACGGGGCUAAACCAUGCACCGAAGCUGCGGCAGCGACACUCAGGUGUUGUUGGGUAGGGGAGCGUUCUGUAAGCCUGCGAAGGUGGCCUGUGAGGGUUGCUGGAGGUAUCAGAAGUGCGAAUGCUGACAUAAGUAACGAUAAAGCGGGUGAAAAGCCCGCUCGCCGGAAGACCAAGGGUUCCUGUCCAACGUUAAUCGGGGCAGGGUGAGUCGACCCCUAAGGCGAGGCCGAAAGGCGUAGUCGAUGGGAAACGGGUUAAUAUUCCCGUACUUGGUGUUACUGCGAAGGGGGGACGGAGAAGGCUAUGUUGGCCGGGCGACGGUUGUCCCGGUUUAAGCGUGUAGGUGUGUGUUCCAGGUAAAUCCGGUUCACUUUAACACUGAGGCGUGACGACGAGGCACUACGGUGCUGAAGCAACAAAUGCCCUGCUUCCAGGAAAAGCCUCUAAGCAUCAGGUAACAUCAAAUCGUACCCCAAACCGACACAGGUGGUCAGGUAGAGAAUACCAAGGCGCUUGAGAGAACUCGGGUGAAGGAACUAGGCAAAAUGGUGCCGUAACUUCGGGAGAAGGCACGCUGACACGUAGGUGAAGUGAUUUACUCAUGGAGCUGAAGUCAGUCGAAGAUACCAGCUGGCUGCAACUGUUUAUUAAAAACACAGCACUGUGCAAACACGAAAGUGGACGUAUACGGUGUGACGCCUGCCCGGUGCCGGAAGGUUAAUUGAUGGGGUCAGCGCAAGCGAAGCUCCUGAUCGAAGCCCCGGUAAACGGCGGCCGUAACUAUAACGGUCCUAAGGUAGCGAAAUUCCUUGUCGGGUAAGUUCCGACCUGCACGAAUGGCGUAAUGAUGGCCAGGCUGUCUCCACCCGAGACUCAGUGAAAUUGAACUCGCUGUGAAGAUGCAGUGUACCCGCGGCAAGACGGAAAGACCCCGUGAACCUUUACUAUAGCUUGACACUGAACAUUGAGCCUUGAUGUGUAGGAUAGGUGGGAGGCUUUGAAGUGUGGACGCCAGUCUGCAUGGAGCCGGCCUUGAAAUACCACCCUUUAAUGUUUGAUGUUCUAACGUGGACCCGUGAUCCGGGUUGCGGACAGUGUCUGGUGGGUAGUUUGACUGGGGCGGUCUCCUCCUAAAGAGUAACGGAGGAGCACGAAGGUUGGCUAAUCCUGGUCGGACAUCAGGAGGUUAGUGCAAUGGCAUAAGCCAGCUUGACUGCGAGCGUGACGGCGCGAGCAGGUGCGAAAGCAGGUCAUAGUGAUCCGGUGGUUCUGAAUGGAAGGGCCAUCGCUCAACGGAUAAAAGGUACUCCGGGGAUAACAGGCUGAUACCGCCCAAGAGUUCAUAUCGACGGCGGUGUUUGGCACCUCGAUGUCGGCUCAUCACAUCCUGGGGCUGAAGUAGGUCCCAAGGGUAUGGCUGUUCGCCAUUUAAAGUGGUACGCGAGCUGGGUUUAGAACGUCGUGAGACAGUUCGGUCCCUAUCUGCCGUGGGCGCUGGAGAACUGAGGGGGGCUGCUCCUAGUACGAGAGGACCGGAGUGGACGCAUCACUGGUGUUCGGGUUGUCAUGCCAAUGGCACUGCCCGGUAGCUAAAUGCGGAAGAGAUAAGUGCUGAAAGCAUCUAAGCACGAAACUUGCCCCGAGAUGAGUUCUCCCUGAGACUUAGAGUCUCCUGAAGGAACGUUGAAGACGACGACGUUGAUAGGCCGGGUGUGUAAGCGCAGCGAUGCGUUGAGCUAACCGGUACUAAUGAACCGUGAGGCUUAACCUUACAACGCCGAAG
rnacentral:rRNA from 1 species